rnacentral:rRNA from 1 species
CAGCCGCCACGGGAAUACGAAGGGUGCAAGCGUUACUCGGAAUUACUGGGCGUAAAGCGUGCGUAGGUGGUGGUUUAAGUCCGUUGUGAAAGCCCCAGGCUCAACCUGGGAAUGGCAAUGGAUACUGGCAAGCUAGAGUGUGUCAGAGGAUGGUGGAAUUCCCGGUGUAGCGGUGAAAUGCGUAGAGAUCGGGAGGAGCAUCAGUGGCGAAGGCGGCCAUCUGGGACAACACUGACGCUGAGGCACGAAAGCGUGGGGAGCAAACAGGAUUAGAUACCCCGGUAGUCCCUGUCUCUUAUAC